CAAAGUGCUGUGCAGCACUGGAUUAAAAUCAAACAAAUUUAAUGUUUUAGGGAAAAAUUUGAAAAUAGCAAAAACAGUGGUUUUGAAAUAAUGAAAACAUGAGAGGAUUAAAAGCAUAAAUAACCCAUAAGUGCUUAAAACCCAUUUCAAUCUCAAAUUUAAAGCUAUUCUGCAGCAGCUUCAAAAAUUGUUUCAUCUUCUUCCCAACUCCUCACGCCAAAACCCCCUCCCUUUUAACUUUGAUUUGGACAAAUGAAGCAAACGAUACCGAUGGCGCGCCUCUGCUGGUAAGAAUCUCCUCCCUUUCUUUUACUUUUCGUUUUCUUUCUCAAAAAAACGAAGUAAAAUACAAAAGAAAAAGAUGAGACAAAAAAAAAAAGAAACAGUAAAAAGAACUUGGAAAGAACAAAUCACCUUCAAAAAUUUGUUUUUUUUCUGAUUCUUUUCUUUCGUAUUUCAGUAUUUUUCAAUAUAUGUCUGUGUAACCCUUUUACAGAUUUGAUUUGGCUUUAUAUAGCCGAAACAACGGAGAAAGAAACUAUCGAAAAAAAACUCUCCCCCCCUUUGUCGUCCUCUCUGCCAUUAUUUUUAUUCGUGGUUCAUGGCUUGUUGCCGGUGUGGGCGUUGGAGAACGUGGGCAGUUGCUAUGCGAUCAUGCGUGAAGACGGUUGCUGCAACGUGGGGGCGAGGGUGAUGCCGAUCUGCUGCUUAUUGCCAAAUGUUUCUGCUGUUCAUUUUUUUUAUUUUAGGCUAGUGGGUCAGGUAUUUGGGUUAAUGACUUGGGCUUGUAAUGGGUUUGGGCUUUAGGCUUAGUUGGGCCCAAGUCAAAAAUUGGGUAUUACAAUUUAUUACACUUGUACUUUACUAUCGCCAUACAUUUGUCAACUUAUUAAUUUGUUCAUUGAUCUAAUAAUAUAAUAUCAAUUAAAUAAUAACG
rnacentral:lncRNA from 1 species